rnacentral:rRNA from 1 species
CUUGACAUGUCAGGAAGCUCUUGUAAUGAGAGCGUGCCCGCAAGGGAGCCUGAACACAGGUGCUGCAUGGCUGUCGUCAGCUUGUGUCGUGAGAUGUUGGGUUAAGUCCCGCAACGAGCGCAACCCUUGUCACUAGUUGCUACGAAAGGGCACUCUAGUGAGACUGCCGGUGACAAACCGGAGGAAGGUGGGGAUGACGUCAAGUCCUCAUGGCCCUUAUG